UGUUUCGGCUAGGGGGUCAUCCCGACUUACCAACCCGAUGCAAACUACGAAUACCGAAGAAUGUUAUCACGGGAGACACACGGCGGGUGCUAACGUCCGUCGUGAAGAGGGAAACAACCCAGACCGCCAGCUAAGGUCCCAAAGUCAUGGUUAAGUGGGAAACGAUGUGGGAAGGCACAGACAGCCAGGAUGUUGGCUUAGAAGCAGCCAUCAUUUAAAGAAAGCGUAAUAGCUCACUGGUCGAGUCGGCCUGCGCGGAAGAUGUAACGGGGCUAAACCAUGCACCGAAGCUGCGGCAGCGACACUAUGUGUUGUUGGGUAGGGGAGCGUUCUGUAAGCCUGCGAAGGUGACCUGUGAGGG
rnacentral:rRNA from 1 species